rnacentral:rRNA from 1 species
GUUAAAAAGCUCGUAGUUGAAUUUCGGGGUUAGUAGGUUGGUCAUGCCUCUGGUAUGUACUGGUCUCACUGAUUCCUCCUUCCUGAUGAACCUUAAUCCCAUUAAUUUGGUGUUUUGGGGAAUUUGGACUGUUACUUUGAAAAAAUUAGAGUGUUUAAAGCAGGCUCACGCUUGAAUACAUUAGCAUGGAAUAAUGAAAUAGGACGUUUGAUUCUAUUUUGUUGGUUUCUAGGAUCGAUGUAAUGAUUAAUAGGGAUAGUUGGGGGCAUUAGUAUUCAAUUGUCAGAGGUGAAAUUCUUGGAUUUAUUGAAGACUAACUACUGCGAAAGCAUUUGCCAAGGAUGUUUUCAUUAAUCAAGAACGAAAGUUAGGGGAUCGAAGACGAUCAGAUACCGUCGUAGUCUUAACCAUAAACUAUGCCGACUAGGGAUCGGAUGAUGUUAAUUUUUUAAUGACUCAUUCGG